rnacentral:lncRNA from 1 species
GCAGCUUUCGAAAUCCAAACUUUUGCCUAAAUCCAAACAAAGAAUUAUAUGUUUAGACAGACGUUUAGUCAAAGUACUUAACUUGGUUUUAAUAUAAAAAUGAACUAAGUGAAGCAAAUAAACCACAAAAUGGCCAUAGCACAUAAGAUUCAAACACAAUUUGAAAAACAGCAAAUAAUUAAAACCACACAAUCAAACAUUCUGAUUGAUACAAGAAAAAUCCUUUUCUCUAAAAACAAAUUAACGGGAUCUUAAUUCCCUGAAAAUAUAAUAAAACUCUUCGAUUCAAACAUAAUUUCACAAGCAACUAAAAAUAUGAAAUCAACACAAUCAGACCUUAUUAUCGCUACAAGGAAUGAUAUGUAAAAAAUUAUCCCUAAAAAUCAACACAAUCAUUCAACCAAUCAAUAUCCCUAAAAAUUACCCAUUCAAUAACCAACAAAACAUACAAUUCAUACAAUUCAUGUUAUUCAAAACAAAACUAAACCAAAAGAUAAAAGAAGAGGAACCUAUUUGUUGUUGUCAGUCACGCUAUUCGUCCCACUUUUAGUCGGACUUUGAGUCGCUUUUUUGCCAACAUUUUCGGCAUUUGAAUCUCUUGUAGUAGGCGUGGCGAUGUUGUCGCGUCCUUGGCUCGACUGACCCUAAUGUAAAAAAAAAUUGAAAUUACAAAGAAAAUAUGAAUAUUGAUUUAUAUAUAAAUGCUAAUUACCUCAAUCGUCUCUCGACGUAAGUCUUCCCUUAGUUCCUUUAGUAUAUCCGGCAACUGUUUCCUAAUGGCCUCUUGAACUGCCCGAUCAAAGUCUUCUUUACUUUUUUGUUGUUGAAUUUCUAUAUAAUUCGUCGUUAUGUUCUGUGAAGUCGCCAUAUUAUCAGGAAUUGGUAAUGGCAUUGGAUCACUUGCUCUGGUUCCAAGAACACGACCUUUGUUUUUUCCGUUAGUAGCUUUGACCCAUAAUUCUAAAUUAUCAGGGAGUGUGUGUGAUCCAUUAGAUGAGUUGAUCUCAGAAUUUUCUACUUCCAUAGCAUUUCUUUGAAGCUCAUUAUAGUCAGCCUAUAAAAAUGAAAAUCAAUAAUAAAUAAAAAAUAUGACUUAAAUAUCUUAAAACGAAGCAUUUCUAACGAAUUUUCUUACAAUGAAGCAUCCUCCCUUUGGAUGGGCCCAGUCGUUUGUCUUAGCCAAACUAUGUGUUUUCUUAUAAACCUCACAGUGACCAACUUCAUGACCAGCUUCUUCAUUCUGAUUGUUAUACUCAAAAAAAUUAGAAUGAUAAAUGUAAAAUAUAUGAAAAAAAUGUUUUUUUACCAUUCUUUCAUGAGUGGCCGCAACUGAACAAGAUCCACCCGUGUAUGGCAUGUAAUCUGGAUUGCUUGUCCUAUUUUCUGAUGCUUUUUCUGAUCUUUUUUUCCAAUCUUCUUUUAGCCAAAUUUCAAUCAUUUCACUCCAUACUUCCGCAGAAAGGUAUAUCGGUGGAAAUCUAGCGCAAGAUCUGGUAAGUGUGUCAACUUUUGCCAAUUUCUUUGCCUCUUGUCUCGCUUUAUACAACCAACAUGUAUAAUUUAAUUGGACAUAGUUAUCAAAACAUUCACGAGCCAAUUGAAUGUCCUCAAAUGAGAAAUAGCAUUACAUAUUGAAAAAAAUGACAUAUGGAAAAAAUGACAAAUAAAUAAAUAAAUCAUACCAGAAAUUUGACGAAAAUAUUUUCCUUUUCCUCUUCUUUCCAAGAAGUCCAUUUAGUUAAAGGUGACGUUAUAUUACCUUUUACUAAUAUUCUUAUUUGACUUCUUACAUUGUUUGUAAAAGUCCUAUAAAAAACAAUCAAAUUAAAUAAUAAAUUAUAAUGAAUUAUAAUGAAAAUUAAUACUCACCCGCUCUUAAGAAUAGUGGCGGGAGUUGGUGCAUCCGGUUGUCUCAAUCCUUUUGUCCAUUUUCUUCGAUGUUCUUCAUCGAAGCGGUCCUCUACGAUUUCUUCAUCUAUUCUUGCAGAUUGUGAUCGUCCGUCGUUUGUUCGUUUACGACUCCGUCCGCGUGCCAUUUCUAAUGGAAUAUUUUCUAAAUGAAUAAAUAAAAUGAAAUUAUUCUGCUUGGAAAAAAAAAUGAAAGUAUAAAACAUAACUACAUAUUGAAUCUUUGGGGAAAACAUAAUCACUAAUCUCAUUUACCAUUCAAUCUUCAAUCAUUUCGAUUCAUAUAUUAUUUUGAAAUGGAUAUGUUAAACACUUUAAUUUUUAAGCAUUUUCUUCCUUAGUAAUUAUUUUGAAAAUUGUCGAUGCUGAUUUUUGUUAAUGAGGAUUUUUAAUUUAACGUUUUUAUGUUUACUUUUCUAUAGGUGGUUCACACUCAAGCCAAGGUUGUAGGAGAACCUCGAUUUGUUAAACAGCAAUUCCUGAAGAAGCUUGAUUAGUUGUGUAUCUCAUUGAUGCUGUAAGGGUGUUUCAAGAAACACUAUUUUCAGAACAAUUGUGAGGGUGUUUCUCUAUUUUCAGAACAAUUUUCAGAACACUAUUUGUAUCCAAGAAACACUAUAAGAGUGAGGGUAUUUCUCAACAAUUGUUUCAUUAUCUCAAAUAUGGUAAUGUCUAAUAGCCUGUACUACACAAUUUGGGCUGUCACACUUCAUUAUCACAUGCAACAUUUUUUCCUCUUCUCAUAUGGUAAUGUAUAUAUUUCUAAACCAAAUGGCAUGGGUGGAUGUAUUUUGUAAUGCAUUAAUGCACAUGCACACACAUGGAGUGAGCUAUGUCUUACUUGUUUUCAAAAUAUGGAAUGAUCAGGAUCGUUGAUCCUUCUGAAUUAUGCAAUUAACCAACCCAUAAAUCCAUAAUUUCGUAAUAAAGAAUUAAAGAUUGUGAACACAGCUGGAACAGAUAUGUCGUCCUGGAAAAGCAAACCAGCACCACUAAAUCUCAAUUUUCAAUCAGGGCAUUAGGAAUUCAGGAUGCCGCAUAUGCCAUAUAAAAUUAAUCAUUAGGAAUCAGGGCAUUACUUAAUCAUGUUUAAUAAAAUAAAUAUCACUAAUGGCCGAUUCAUUUAUUAGGUUAAAUGGAUUCCGAAUAUGCCAUAUAACACCAGAUAGGGUGAUCGAAUUCAUCAUACCUAGGACGAAUCAAGCUACCACAGAGGAAUCGCUGCUGCAGUUGUCGCUGCUAUGCGUGGUCGCUGCUGCAGUUGGAAUCGCCGCGGUCGCUGCUGCAGUUGGAAUCGCCGCGGCCGUGUGCAAUCGUCACUGCCGUUGGGGGGGAAUGAGGGGAACUCGUUUGCCGUUGGGAGGGAAUGAG